GCUGGGGUGGCGUAAUUGGUAGCCGCACUAGCCUUAGGAGCUAGCGCCGUAAGGCAUGGGAGUUCGAAUCUCCCCCCCAGCA
rnacentral:tRNA from 1 species